AUUAUGUUGUGGUUUGUGUGUUCCAUGAGUUUGUCAAAACGACAGCAGUGUCGGUUACUGCUGUUCUUUCAGGCUAUCAGAAGAAAGUUGGCGACCGGCAAGGCGGUGCAGCCAUGGACGAUCCAUUAUUAUCGUUCAUCAGAGUCCAGCAAGUGUGAAUUUUGGGGAUGCUCUAUUGUUUUCCUGUUUUUAUUUUUUGCAUAUUGCUUUUGACAUGGUUCCUAUGGGUUGUGAACCCACCUGUAAAAUGCUAUUCAUAUCGCAUUCUAAACUUUAGCAUAUACACUCAGAUGGAUCCAAAAUGUAGCUUCAACUAUCCAUCAUAUAAGCAAGAAAUAGUUCGAACUUCA